GGCCGUAAACAGAGGGAAGCAAAGCCGCGAGGUGGAGCAAACCCCCAAAAGCGGUCCCAGUUCGGAUUGUAGGCUGCAACCCGCCUACAUGAAGUUGGAAUUGCUAGUAAUCGCAGAUCAGAAUGCUGCGGUGAAUACGUUCCCGGGCCUUGUACACACCGCCCGUCACACCAUGGGAGCCGGUAAUACCCGAAGUCAGUAGUCUAACCGCAAGGGGGACGCUGCCGAAGGUAGGAUUGGCGACUGGGGUGAAGUCGUAACAAGGUAUC
rnacentral:rRNA from 1 species